UGAGACACGUGGAAGAAGUCAAAAAAGACAAACGCCCAGAAGAGCCCAGGAAGCACAGCUACACAGAUGACAUGAAGAAGUACAAACACAGAGAAGACAGCAGACGUGAGAGGCCAAUAAACACACUGCAACGAGAGAGGCUGCCGAGUGAGACGCCUGCUGACGCUCACAGACCAAUAUUUGAAAGGAGAGGAGUGUUGGACAGCACUAUUCUGUAUCCCACCCGGUUCCCCUCUCCUCCUCGACCUGCUCGGCCUCCUCCCCCGACCAAACGCCUCUCUGUGGACAUGAAAAAAGACAGUUUUAUAAGUGGACUCGUGGCCUGACAGGAUGCCCCCUGUGCAUGAUGCAUGUUGUGAUGGGUCACUCAGGAAGGACGGUAAAGACUCUUCCUCCAAC